GAGCCAGGUUGGUUUCUAUCUUAAAAAAAGAAUAAUAUUUUAGUACGAAAGGAUCAAAUAUUUAUAAAAUUUAUUUUUAUUGAAUAAAUUUAAUU
rnacentral:rRNA from 1 species